UACGAAGGGGGCUAGCGUUGUUCGGAAUCACUGGGCGUAAAGCGCACGCAGGCGGAUUGAUAAGUCAGGGGUGAAAUCCCGGAGCUCAACUUCGGAACUGCCUUUGAUACAGCACGUCUUGAGUCCGAUAGAGGUGGGUGGAAUUCCUAGUGUAGAGGUGAAAUUCGUAGAUAUUAGGAAGAACACCGGUGGCGAAGGCGGCCCACUGGAUCGGUACUGACGCUGAGGUGCGAAAGCGUGGGGAGCAAACAGG
rnacentral:rRNA from 1 species